rnacentral:rRNA from 1 species
UGGGGAAUCAUGGUCAAUGGGCGAAAGCCUGAACCUGCGACGCCGCGUGAGUGAUGAAGGUCGUAAGAUCGUAAAACUCUUUUCAGGGAUCUUAAAGCCUGUCUGUCAACAACAGGCAGGUCUGACUCUCCCUGGAAGAAGCCCCAGCCAACUACGUGCCAGCAGCUGCGGUAAUACGUAGGGGGCGAGCGUUAUUCGGAAUUACUGGGUGUAAAGGGUAUGUAGGCGGCCCUUCAAGUCGCGUGUCAAAGUCCAGUGCUCAACGCUGGGUGUGCGCGCGAUACUGGCGGGCUUGAGGGCUGGAGAGGGGAGUGGAAUUCCCGGUGUAGUGGUAAAAUACGUAAAGUUCUGGAGGAACACCAGCGGCGCAGGCGGCUCACUAGACAGUUUCUGACGCUAAGAUACGAAAGCGUGGGGAGCAAACA